rnacentral:rRNA from 1 species
AUGGGCUUCCCCGUGGGAUACUCGGAGCUGCUGCUCCCCCGGCUGCUCCUGCAGGCGCUCCUCCUCCUCGGCCACCUCCACCGCUUCCUCCUCUGGGCCUUCCACGCCGUGGGCCUGGGCGACCUCAUCGACCUCGGCGGCAGCGCGCCCACGGCGGAGGAGGCGCAGUGGCACGCGCACCACGGGGCAGCGCCCUCGCCCUCGCUGCAGCACCGGCGGCCCGACUUCCGCGCGCUGCCGCCGAUGGCCGCCGUCGAGGAGGCGCUCCCCGUGCUGCGGUUCGACGAGCUGGUGGCGUCCUCCCCGUCCGUGUGCGGGGACGGCGACUGCGCCGUCUGCCUCUGCGGCAUCGGCGGCGGCGACGAGGUGCGGCGGCUGUCCAACUGCCGCCACGUCUUCCACCGCGGCUGCAUCGACCGCUGGAUGGGGCACCAGCAGCGCACCUGCCCGCUCUGCCGCGCCCCGCUCAUGCCCGGCGACGCGCUCUCGGCCGACCUCCCGGACGCCUCCGACUACGACAUGUCCUACCCGUCCCCGCUGCCGCUGGCGGCCACCCCCACCCUGCUGCGCCCGCACGAGCUGCUGCUCAACGGCCUGGGCGGCUUCCAGUGA